UUCUGCAAUGAGAUUUUCGGGUCGAUUCAGCCGAGACGGCCCGUGUGGAGUUUCAUGUAAAUGUUUCGUACGGGAAAAAAAAAUCGCCACCAGGCAAGUCAGGUAAAAUCCCGCAUUAGUGUACACCCGCCUGCUCCGCUGCAGUUAGAAAACAGUAAUAAUGCAGAAGAGUGGAAGCUAUUUAAGCAGUUAUACAGUAACUACGAGAUUAUCUCCGGGUUACAAAAUGAACCUCCAGAGUUUCAGUUAGCAGUGUUCCUCAAUACCAUAGGAAGAAAAGCCAUCAAAAUCUAUAAUACCUUUAACCUCGGUGAAGCACCACCCGUCAGUGAGGUGAUUGUUAGGUUCGAUUCACACUUUUUAGAGACAAUCAGUAUCAGUGUCACAUAUGAGCGCUAUAAGUUCAAUAAACGGGAGCAACGAACGGACGAAGUGAUUGAUACAUAUGCCACCACACAUAAAGAGCUAAGUCAUGUGACUUUGGUCCAUUGGAAGAUGACUUAAUUCGAGAAAAAUAAUCGUCGGUAUUAGAUGUGAUAGAACGAGAAAACAACUCCUAGAGCAAAAUAAUUUAACAUUGAACGAUGCAGUUAAUUAAACAUGUAGGUUAAAUGAGAGUACAGAAUCAAGGAUGAAGUCCAUGGCAGUCAAGGAUACAAUUAACAAAGUUAACACUGACGGUAAAAGUGGUAAAUGUCACACCAAGACUCCAGAUAAGAAACUUAGAUCCUGCAAAUUUUGUGGUAAAUCACACAUAUGGGAUAGAACCAAGUGUCCUGCUUUUGGGAAAAAGUGUUCGAAGUGUGGGAAACUCAACCACUUCGCCAGCAAGUGUAAAAUGCGUCGGGUCAAGGGUAAAACUGUUGCUUAUGUCCAUGAGUCUCAUGUAGACGAGUCAAGUGAUGACAGUGAAUGGAUCGGUAAGGUAGAAGAUGAGCAGCAGAAUGAUUUAAAAUGUAAGAUGAAAAUUAACAACCAGGUCAUAGUAUUUAACAUAGACACAGGAGCUACAGUGAACACCAUUCCAGUUCGAUAUGCAUCAAACCUGAGACGUGAGGAGAAAACGUUAACAAUGUGGGACGGGUCGCAACUCAAAACUUAUGGUGUCACCAAGGAAGUUGUAUAUAAUCCAGCCAAUGGCAAAUAUCAUGACCUUCAAUUUGUAGUUACCAAAAAUGAUAGAAUCCCAUUAAUUGGUUACCAAGACCUAAAAAGGCUCAGCCUGAUUCAUGUCAACGAGCACAACAUAGAACGAGUAGCACUCGUUCAAUUGGAGGAUUUUCAAUUGGUAUUUAAUAAGACUUCCAUUGGCAACCUCCCAGGAACAGUAGCUCUCGUCGCCAACGCUGAAGUGAAACCUGUUAUAAUGCCUACUAGAUGAGUACCGGUAGCGGUAAAGCCGAAAUUGAAAGCAGAGCUGCAUAGAUUAGAAACACUUGGUGUAAUUUCUAAAGUAUCACAACCUACUGAGUGGGUUAAUGCCAUAGUGGUUAUUCCUAAAAAGUCUGGGGACACUGGUGUCACAUUAGAACUUAUAUUUUUCCCUACCAUAUGCGUGUUGCCCUAAUAUUUAAAUAAUAUGCUAAUCCACUUAGUGAAUAACAAGUUGUUAGUCAUUGACAAAAAGGUGAUUGUAUUGUUACUAAAUUUGCAUAAAGCGUUAAUCCGUUGCCAGCCGGUCAUAUAAAAUGACUAGCGCGAGUUUUCGAAUUACUCUCAAAUUUACUAUCAUACGAUUGAGUCAACCCACAGCCAAUUCUGUGAGGUUCAUGAGACGAGCAGUUUUAUUGUAAGCUUAUCAUGGGGCGCAGUGUGCAUUGGACGCACGAUACUGUAUAAGCCUGGCCUUUGUGAAUUUAUACACAGUUGGUAGAACCGUGAUAAAGUAUUUUUUGUUCCGUUAUAAACCGACGGAAUGGGGCGAGUUAGGAUAGAAACUCCGACAAGGCUCGCAGCUGAACGUGGUGGAGCUCGUCUAUGUUAACCUACAGUACGGUAGUGGACAUUUGUCGCCUAACUUUCAACCUAAUAUUUGGGAGCUACUGUGCUAUUGUAUGGAAUUUUUCAAGUAGAAACCAAUGAUAAAGCGUAGAGUAUCGUAAUCAGUUAUACCUAUCAAGAAUGAUGGUGGAUAUUCAACGCAUUAUCAAGAAAGACGUGUUUAAGCGAGAACAGUGAUUAAAUAGAGACGUAGUAUUCGUCAUUACUAUUUACUCCAAUAAUGUUAUAAUAUAUUAAUUAAACUGGUAGUUAUUUGCUAUGGCUAUACACGAAGAUAAUCUUUAAGAUUUGGAUAGCCAAUAUUUCAUUAUAAAUUAAUCAUUGCUAAGUAAUGUUAUGAUUUGAAUUAAAAGCAUUGGUUGCGAAUUUGAUAUUUAAUAUUUAAUGUUGUCUGUUUGUAUUGUUUGUAUUGUGUUGUUUAUUGUUUAAAAAGAAGACUUAUUACUUUAGAAAUAAAGAUUUACCUAUUUGUUAAAUUUAAAAGUUUGUAAUUCUUUUUGUUGUGUACAUUGUUGGACAGACAUUAGACCUUC
rnacentral:misc_RNA from 1 species